GAUGAAGAACGUAGUGAAAUGCGAUAACUAAUGUGAAUUGCAGAAUUCAGUGAAUCAUCGAGUCUUUGAACGCACAUUGCGCCCUCUGGUAUUCCGGAGGGCAUGCCUGUCCGAGCGUCAUUGCUGCCCUCCAGCCCGGCUGGUGUGUUGGGCCCCGUCCCCCUUCCCGGGGGGACGGGCCCGAAAGGCAGCGGCGGCACCGCGUCCGGUCCUCGAGCGUAUGGGGCUUUGUCACCCGCUCUUGUAGGCCCGGCCGGCGCCAGCCGACCCCCUCAAUCUAUUUUUCAGGUUGACCUCGGAUCAGGUAGGGAUACCCGCUGAACUUAAGCAUAUCAAUAAGCGGAGGA
rnacentral:misc_RNA from 1 species